ACCGGCCCGUGCAGCGUGGCCUCUGUCCGAACCGGCCCUGGCGUACUUCCCCGACGCCAGGUCCGCCUCGGGCAGGGACCUCGCUGCAGGGGCGAACUACC
rfam:Mycobacterium sp. GA-2829 GCID_NTM_00013_NODE_1.ctg_1, whole genome shotgun sequence.